rnacentral:rRNA from 1 species
UACAGAGGAGGCAAGCGUUGUUCGGAAUCACUGGGCUUAAAGCGCGUGUAGGCGGCGCGAUAAGUGUUCUGUGAAAUCCCACGGCUCACCCGUGGAACUGCAGGGCAUACUGUCGUGCUUGAGGCAGGUAGGGGCCACUGGAACUCUCGGUGGAACGGUGAAAUGUGUAGAUAUCGAGAGGAACACCGGUGGCGAAGGCGGGUCUCUGGGCCGAUAUUGACGCUGAGGAGCGAAAGCGUGGGGAGCGAACAGG